UUAAAAGCUAUGAGCAGACUAGUAAUUACAUACACAUUUAGAGAGUACUCGGUGCUGGAAAGAGUAUAUGUCAGUUUGUAAUGAAUCACACCUGUCAGUUGAUUUUCUGAAUUUAAUAAAAGUAAGAAAUUCCGGGACGCCCCGUUAGUGCAUGAGUUUGAGUAAAUUAAACUCUGUGAGGUCGUUUGUGUGAACAAACGAUGAACAUGAGGUGGAACCGCGAGUAGUCGUCCUCUUA
rnacentral:ncRNA from 1 species